AUAUCAACUUUAAGUAUGCUGUCCUGAAGAAUGCUAACCUGAGUGGAGCCAACCUGUCAUACUGCAACUUCGAGAGAGCUGACCUCUGCCAUGCUGUUUUAGAUUCUGCCAAUUUACUGGGAGUGAAAAUGCUAUGUGCAAACAUGGAAGGAACAUCAUUACGUGGGUGUAACUUUGAAGAUCCUGCAGGCAGUCGGGCUAAUAUGGAGGGUGCCCUGAUGAAGAGCGUUAAUUUGGAAGGAAGUCACAUGGCUGGGGUAAAUUUACGAGUGGCAACUUUAAAAAAUGCCAACUUACAGAACUGUGAUCUAAGAGGAGCAGUAUUAGCAGGAGCGGAUCUAGAGAACUGUGAUAUGUCGGGUUGUGAUCUCCAAGAAGCCAACCUGCGAGGGGCCAACUUGAAGGGAGCAGCUCUAAAACUUAUGUUGAAUCCCCUCCACAUGGCCCAAACAGUGAGAUAAGAACCAACCAGAAGACAUUUUAUUUUUGGCGACAUUAACAGUUUCCCCCUGUGGGAAAACAGACAGAGUAACUGCACAUUGAUACAAUAUACAUGUAUAUACAUAUGAAUAGCACUAAAAAUUUUGCCAAAGAUGUACAUUUUUAUUUGUCUCAGGAAUCUGUUUAAGGCUUCCCAUAAUGCUCUCUUGUUUUGUCUCUAAUUUAGUUGGAGAACAGGCGUCUCUGAUUUUAAGUGUAAUGUUAUGUCAUGAGCUGUGAAAGAUGAACAAAUGGAAAUAAUUCAUCAAAUAUUUUGAUUGCUAAAUAUUUACAGGAAUACAUAUUAAAAUGUUCUGUUCAUUCAUGCUUUUAUUAAAGGGACAUGGUCCUG
rnacentral:misc_RNA from 1 species